rnacentral:lncRNA from 1 species
CGGUUGGAGGAAUGAUAAGGAGAAUGACUCAAUUGCAUGGCAGAAAGUCCUAUUUAUAAACAUAAGGCGGUGGUUAAUAUUUCCUAGUCCUUGACAAAUUUGAAAAUGAUCCGUAGGAAUUUUGAUAAAAUAAGAAAAGGAUUGCAAACUAUGUUCCCUGGAAAAUCUAUUCUCCUAAUAGAAGAACGUCAAGUGUAAAGGCGAUACGUGAUUUUUUUUGUUUCUAG